rnacentral:rRNA from 1 species
UACGGAGGGUGCAAGCGUUAUCCGGAUUCACUGGGUUUAAAGGGUGCGUAGGUGGGCAGGUAAGUCAGUGGUGAAAUCUCCGGGCUUAACUCGGAAACUGCCAUUGAUACUAUCUGUCUUGAAUACCGUGGAGGUCAGCGGAAUAUGUCAUGUAGCGGUGAAAUGCUUAGAUAUGACAUAGAACACCAAUUGCGAAGGCAGCUCACUACACGAAUAUUGACACUGAGGCACGAAAGCGUGGGGAUCAAACAGG